GGCGUGCUUAACACAUGCAAGUCGAACGAAGCACUCUAUUUGAUUUUCUUCGGAAAUGAAGAUUUUGUGACUGAGUGGCGGACGGGUGAGUAACGCGUGGGUAACCUGCCUCAUACAGGGGGAUAACAGUUGGAAACGACUGCUAAUACCGCAUAAGCGCACAGGAUUGCAUGAUCCGGUGUGAAAAACUCCGGUGGUAUGAGAUGGACCCGCGUCUGAUUAGCCAGUUGGCAGGGUAACGGCCUACCAAAGCGACGAUCAGUAGCCGACCUGAGAGGGUGACCGGCCACAUUGGGACUGAGACACGGCCCAAACUCCUACGGGAGGCAGCAGUGGGGAAUAUUGCACAAUGGGGGAAACCCUGAUACAGCGACGCCGCGUGGAGGAAGAAGGUAUUCGGAUUGUAAACUCCUGUCGUUAGGGACGAUAAUGACGGUACCUAACAAGAAAGCACCGGCUAACUACGUGCCAGCAGCCGCGGUAAAACGUAGGGUGCAAGCGUUGUCCGGAAUUACUGGGUGUAAAGGGAGCGCAGGCGGACCGGCAAGUUGGAAGUGAAAACUAUGGGCUCAACCCAUAAAUUGCUUUCAAAACUGCUGGCCUUGAGUAGUGCAGAGGUAGGUGGAAUUCCCGGUGUAGCGGUGGAAUGCGUAGAUAUCGGGAGGAACACCAGUGGCGAAGGCGACCUACUGGGCACCAACUGACGCUGAGGCUCGAAAGCAUGGGUAGCAAACAGGAUUAGAUACCCUGGUAGUCCAUGCCGUAAACGAUGAUUACUAGGUGUUGGAGGAUUGACCCCUUCAGUGCCGCAGUUAACACAAUAAGUAAUCCACCUGGGGAGUACGACCGCAAGGUUGAAACUCAAAGGAAUUGACGGGGGCCCGCACAAGCAGUGGAGUAUGUGGUUUAAUUCGAAGCAACGCGAAGAACCUUACCAGGUCUUGACAUCCGAUGCAUAGUGCAGAGAUGCAUGAAGUCCUUCGGGACAUCGAGACAGGUGGUGCAUGGUUGUCGUCAGCUCGUGUCGUGAGAUGUUGGGUUAAGUCCCGCAACGAGCGCAACCCUUAUUGUCAGUAGCCAGCAGGUGAAGCUGGGCACUCUGAUGAGACUGCCGGGGAUAACCCGGAGGAAGGUGGGGAUGACGUCAAAUCAUCAUGCCCCUUAUGAGCAGGGCUACACACGUGCUACAGUGGCGUAAACAGAGGGAAGCGAAGGAGUGAUCUGGAGCAAAUCUCAAAAAUAACGUCUCAGUUCGGAUUGUAGUCUGCAACUCGACUACAUGAAGCUGGAAUCGCUAGUAAUCGCAAAUGAGAAUGCUGCGGUGAAUACGUUCCCGG
rnacentral:rRNA from 1 species